ensembl:ncRNA C04C11.11 ncRNA
GGUGGCGGCGUCAUAAUCAACGCGACAUGACAUUGUGACGAAAGCAAGUCAGUCCCACUCCCCUUUUCCAUCUUCUUCAUCAACUCUGGCGCCCUGGGGGCAUACGUCCGAGAGAGGACCCGUGCCCAAGCCGAUAAUUAUAGCGGAAGAGCGGACGCGUCGAAAGAUGCGAAAUUGUCAAAUCAUAAGUGACAGGCCGGCAGGGCUCUCCGGCGGCAACUGGGUGUGCUGCAAUGCCGCCCCGAUGAGUUGUG